CUUCCGUCUCUCCCAUUUCACAUUUCACAGCACCAUAAAAUGAACUAUGCAAUGGCCCACGUGAACACAGCUGCCACUGACUUUGCCAAUAACAACAGCUCUGAGAGGCUGAAGGAGCUCAGCCACUCUCCCGCCUCUCUGGAGGCAGCCAAUUAAAGGUCUGGAUUCUAGCACCUGGUUCUUACCAAUGGUUCCAGGAGGAGCACAGAAGACAUUCUGUCAGACUUGCCUUGGACUUCAAUGGCCUUCUAUUUUUUCUGUCAUCGGCACAGACUGUUCAUCUGGUUCGCGCAUACUUUGUGGUUUUUCUCCUGUAGAACCUGGAGCCAUGGUAAUAAAGUCAGUUUUCACGGAAGCAGUGGAUUGAAUGUGACUCUUUCAAUGAAGCUCAGAAUCACAACACUUACUUGUCUCUUGAUGUCGACAGCUGCAUUUUUCUGGAAGGGCUCUCUGGCUUCCAUGUGUUUUAUUGACAUGGGCCUCACACGAUGACAUAGUUCUGAUCAUUGAAAAUCAACUACUACACACUAGAUCCUAGAAGAUCCCUUUCUCAGCACUGUAUGAACUUAGAAUUGUUAAUUUUCAAACAGGAAUAUCAACAUGUAUUUGGUUCAAUUCCUUUUCUUUGAUGCAGUAGGCUAUUAUUAGCCUUGUUUGGUUGAUGAGCAAAGUGAGAUUGACCAAGAUAAAGAUUCCCCAGAAGAUUCAAAUAAGUGGUGGGAAAGAAGAAAGUGAAAAUCCUUGUUUUCAAAUAUUUUAGCAAUGAACCCUUCUCUCAAAGUAAAUUUUAUGUGGAAACCCAAGUUUUGGUACCUGUUAAAUUAGCAUGCCAUUAUUUCAGAAAGUCUUAGUACAUUUAUUUUACUACCAACAAAUGAAAAAAUCCUGAAACUGUUUUGAUGAAAUAAAUAUGUGAGUUCGCAGAUCUGA